rnacentral:rRNA from 1 species
AUGAACGCUAGCGACAGGCUUAACACAUGCAAGUCGAGGGGCAGCACAGGUAGCAAUACCGGGUGGCGACCGGCGCACGGGUGAGUAACGCGUAUGCAACUUGCCUAUCAGAGGGGGAUAACCCGGCGAAAGUCGGACUAAUACCGCAUGAAGCAGGGAUCCCGCAUGGGAAUAUUUGCUAAAGAUUCAUCGCUGAUAGAUAGGCAUGCGUUCCAUUAGGCAGUUGGCGGGGUAACGGCCCACCAAACCGACGAUGGAUAGGGGUUCUGAGAGGAAGGUCCCCCACAUUGGUACUGAGACACGGACCAAACUCCUACGGGAGGCAGCAGUGAGGAAUAUUGGUCAAUGGCCGAGAGGCUGAACCAGCCAAGUCGCGUGAGGGAUGAAGGUUCUAUGGAUCGUAAACCUCUUUUAUAAGGGAAUAAAGUGCGGGACGUGUCCCGUUUUGUAUGUACCUUAUGAAUAAGGAUCGGCUAACUCCGUGCCAGCAGCCGCGGUAAUACGGAGGAUCCGAGCGUUAUCCGGAUUUAUUGGGUUUAAAGGGUGCGUAGGCGGCCUUUUAAGUCAGCGGUGAAAGUCUGUGGCUCAACCAUAGAAUUGCCGUUGAAACUGGGGGGCUUGAGUAUGUUUGAGGCAGGCGGAAUGCGUGGUGUAGCGGUGAAAUGCAUAGAUAUCACGCAGAACCCCGAUUGCGAAGGCAGCCUGCCAAGCCAUGACUGACGCUGAUGCAUACACGCGUGGGGAUCAAACAUGAUUAGAUACCCUGGUAGUCCACGCAGUAAACGAUGAUCACUAGCUGUUUGCGAUACACUGUAAGCGGCACAGCGAAAGCGUUAAGUGAUCCACCUGGGGAGUACGCCGGCAACGGUGAAACUCAAAGGAAUUGACGGGGGCCCGCACAAGCGGAGGAACAUGUGGUUUAAUUCGAUGAUACGCGAGGAACCUUACCCGGGUUUGAACGCAUUCGGACCGAGGUGGAAACACCUUUUCUAGCAAUAGCCGUUUGCGAGGUGCUGCAUGGUUGUCGUCAGCUCGUGCCGUGAGGUGUCGGCUUAAGUGCCAUAACGAGCGCAACCCUUGCCACUAGUUACUAACAGGUAAAGCUGAGGACUCUGGUGGGACUGCCAGCGUAAGCUGCGAGGAAGGCGGGGAUGACGUCAAAUCAGCACGGCCCUUACAUCCGGGGCGACACACGUGUUACAAUGGCGUGGACAAAGGGAAGCCACCUGGCGACAGGGAGCGAAUCCCCAAACCACGUCUCAGUUCGGAUCGGAGUCUGCAACCCGACUCCGUGAAGCUGGAUUCGCUAGUAAUCGCGCAUCAGCCAUGGCGCGGUGAAUACGUUCCCGGGCCUUGUACACACCGCCCGUCAAGCCAUGGGAGCCGGGGGUACCUGAAGUCCGUAACCGCGAGGAUCGGCCUAGGGUAAAACUGGUGACUGGGGCU